UUUCUCAAUAGUUCGAUCCCCGAUUCGUCCGCUGUGAACGCGACGACGCGGCGUUCCGGCAACGCGUGUUCCGCGCGAAACAAAUCACGCCCGUGGUAUUCGAAGUGGAAACGGACGAUCGAAAAUCGGCCGUCACCUUUCCACGGGAACGAGAAGGAAUUUUAUCACGAGCGCAGAAAGUGACGGUGGAACGUUGGAAAAUUUAUAGGAAGAUAGCGAGAGGAAGAGAGGAAAAACGAAAAUUCUUUAGGAACUUUUUGAAGACUUCCGUGCUUGAUCGAUUUCGAUCGAAGCGCCGCUCGGGUGGCUCCAUCUACUGGGCAUGCGCAGUCACUAUGCACCGUCGGAAUCAUGUGUUCGCUCAGUAUAUUCCGGUCUUUGCUUGCGUACGGUCGUUUAUAAAGUAACGAUAGUUUUGCUAUCGUGGUGGCGCGUUUAAUAAUCGUCAAAUCAAGCCCGCGUUUCGUCGUCGAUCGUGUAUCGCGCGUAAUUAAAUCGUCGAGUGGUGUUGACCGUGCGUUCCCCGGCGAGCAGUGCACGUACUCGUUCGAAGUAAAGCGGGGGAAAAAUAAGAGAACGACGACGAGACACUCGGCUAAAAUCGAAGUGCGUCUUGUUCGCGCCAGUAAAGGCGUCCUUCCGCGUUCUCUUGUACACGAGUGUCGCAGCUCGUCCCGCGAGUGAGUGAUAUUUCAUUUCCAACGAGCAGUGCCCCGAAGAGGAGGGAAAAUAGCUGUUAAGUGAAGUUCCUCGACUUUUUCGCGAUCGGUCAACGAGAGAUCCGCGGGGAUGACGAGGUAGCCCCCCAUCCAAGGGAUUGGAUUACCAUGCUGGACACGGCCACGAGUCACAGGUGGCUGUCAGAAGUUGAGGCUGAAAGUGCGAAGAGUACAGAUUGGGAGCAGCAUGCUGGCAAUAUAGCGAUCAGACAUCAACGAUCUUCUCCGUAAAGUCACUCUGCCAUGUUGCUUAGGUGAGCGGGAGGGAGGCGGUGCUGACCGGUGGCGGCGGCGGCCAUGCGCCCCGGCCCGCCAGUACAGCCGAGCCGCCGCAGGCCUCCCCGUCGCCAGGAACUCCAUCAGGAACGAAAUCGACGGCACCGGCAAGAUCAGCUGCAACCGCGUGGCCCACGGCCGAACGGGAGCAGCUCACGGGCCCUGCUGGUGUUGCUGCUGCUGGCCAGCAGCCCUCUGGUCCUGGGCCUGGCCGAACCGCCAGGAUUACCCGGGGCCGAGUGGCAGCAGGCACUAUCCAGGCAGACUUAUCCGAAAUCCACCUUCGGCAGAAGCAUUCAACCGAGGAAGCAGCAGAAUCUUACCAUUGGAUACCUCACGGCUAUCAAGGGCGGCCUCAAAGAUCGCCAGGGACUCGCGAUUUCGGGUGCCUUCUCCAUGGCCCUUGACGAGAUCAACAACGAUCCAAAUAUAUUACCGAACGUAAAGCUGGUGAUGCGAUGGAGCGACACGAGGGGAGAAACGGUGGAAGCCACCAAGGCGAUGAUCGAUAUGAUCUGCGACGGGGGUCGCAGCUUUCUUUGGACCAGAAGGCUCGUGCUACGUCGAAGCCAUAGUCGCUCAAUCCCGCAACAUACCCAUGAUUAGUUAUGUAAGUACUUUUAACGCUAUUUAAGAUAACGCUUACUUUGCAACUGCUCGACGAAACAAGAUUUACGUUAUUUGCUAAUAUUAUCAAGAAACAAAGAUUCUAUUCUAUUUCAAGAAGUAUCUACCUUUCUUGUAACACCUUGUAACAAUGAGUUAGCAGUACUGAAAGUAGCAGCAAUUGUUGCACCGUCAGUCAAAGCGAAUUUUCGCCGCUUAUUCGAUGUAACCUAAGAGACUUUCGUCCGCCGCCUCGUGAGAAGAUCGAGUUUGCCAGGGUGACGAAGGUAGCGUCGAAGUUGUCGAAGGUGGAUCGGUUCAGAGAUGGUUAACGAACGCGGGGGAGGCGGAUGUGUGCCGACAAAUUGAACACCCGCGGCGUGACAAUAUAAUUACAGGCUGCUUCCGCGUGCGAGUGUGUGCGUUACGUAGCUUUCGUACGUGCUAUGUUAGGGAACACGCGAUGCCUCCGCUUCGGGGCUUCGAUCGACCGGCCUGAAAAAUUAGCAUCCAACCUUCUCUUUGGACCUUCUAUCAUCCGAUCUUCCUUUUCGAAGGAGUAUCGUGCCGAUGCACUCACCCUCGCUUAGCUUCAUUCGUCUUCAUCGUGACUUUCAGAAGAAAAAAAAAAUUGUUCUUCACUUUAUUUAUGUCAAGAUCAGAAAAUAGUAUUUAUAAGAUUUUCUUUGAUAUUCUACAUAAGUUUAUCGUCCUCAAAGGGUUAAUAUACGAACGCUUGUAAGACGUUAAAGAAAUUCUAGCAACUGGCUCUACCCAAGGUUGAUUCGUGUUAGCCGCGUAGGUUGUGCCUUGAACCAUGCUCGAGCUAUCUUGGGUCGGACUUAUCGCGUGCCCAAGAUAUUUUAAACAGCAGAUUAACCUAGGUCUGAAGCUCGGCAACACGGUUGCCUGAACAGGAUCUACAGAAACGCAUUGAUCACGGCCCGGUACUGAAUCGAACCGGUUGUGCACUCGAUCAAAGUGGACAAAGCACGAUUUACGCGCAAUCGGAUCGGGUUAAAUCUUCCUAUGCCCGAAUUGCUUCCAUAAUAGUUUCUUCCUUUCUAAUCGCGGCGCGAUCCUCUUCAAUCGUCUUCGUGUCUAUUCUAAGCCGCGCCAGUCCUAAGAUUAGACCUCUGAUCCCAAUUAGGAUGCUUCGCUCGUUGAUAAAUGGACGGUCCUGGUGCUCGUGAAAUCGUACCACCGAUGGAAUGCACUUUUUUAUAGAACAAGACGGUUCGUUCGCUUUCGUUCCGACAGGCUAUUUUCGUGCACGCAAACGUAGCAGAAUCAUCAUCCGAUGCAGUUUCAUUCGUUGUCACGGAAUCACGAAUACAGCCACUUCAUCGUUGUGCCGUUGAUAUUGCAUAUCCUUCCUUUAUCGUUUGAUAACAGGAUUAAAAUCCUUUUGCUUAAAAUUACGUUUGAAUUUUCCCGUCUGACCAUCCGAGGGUUAAUACUACUUAAACUUCUAUUACUAUUCGAAGGAUGGUGGGAAAGGAAAAGAGAAGAACUCUCGAGUGUUAGAGUGUCACGGGGUCAGGGAAUAAACUACUCUCUCGUCAGGGUCGGGACGGAAAUUUCGGUAUCGUAGGUUAUUUAUGGACGAAAUUAUCAAGAAACGAAGAGUCGAACAGAAACGUCGUGUCUGGUGUGGUAGCAGUUUAUAAUAAAAACACAUGUCACGAAGCCGCGCCUAUUUUUAACCGGUUGAUCAGAACUGCUCGUCUGCUUGUACGAUUCGUUAAUCGUCUGGAGUGUUCAGACCACUCGUUUGCGUGGAAUUCGCCGUUCGAAAAGUAGCACGUUCGAAUUUAUCUGUCUUUCAACUUUCCAGUAAUGUUUCCACUUGUUUAUCGAUCAAGAAUUUUCGUUCAUUCUAGAACAAAUAUUCGUUCGGUACUUCGUACAAAAAUACCACAAGCAUUAAGCACUUUCACAGUAUCUGGAUUUUUUCCUAUCUGUAUUUUCAUUCCCGCGUAUCUUACUUGUUAAUACGUCGACUACUGUAGUGAAAAUGGACGGAUGUGAAGACACCUUAUAGUAUAAUUCAGAUAGCUAUUUUAUAACUUCUUAUCUAUGCACAUAUUUCAUUAUAAUCUAUCUAAUAGGGUGUCGCGCUAGAUAUGAUUAUUUUUACUGUAGCAAUCAACCUUUUCAUAAUUCUUACCGAGGUGAGUCACAUAUGGUUGUUUUCACUGCGGCAACCAGUGUUACCACGUUCACUGCCACAGUAAACCUGAACACGUGUAAUAGAACGUAUCGGGGCUCUAAUUAUUAGGAGGGAAAGAAAAAGAAGAAAGAGGGAGAGCUACAUAUUUUCCACUAUGCUUCCACGAAGCUGUAAGAAUGCAGAGUCCGUGGAGGACUCUCGCUCGAUUGCCGGAUAAUUCGAAUAUGAGAAAGUGGUACGCGAACGUAAAAAGGCCUCCAGACUAAUUUAUGUUAAUUGGAGGUCGUAAGAAAACGAAACGUCCACGCGAGAACGGCAAUCGUUUCGCUGGCAGAUGAGAAGGAAGGGAUUAAAGGCACGCGGAGGAGGCUAGUGCGGUGCGUUCGCGAUUCGAGCGUAAAUCGGCCCUUCUCUCGCGGACCGUUCCGCUGGACGUUAGCAGCUGCAUAUAAACGUAAGGAGAGCCUACUCAGCUUCUUACUUUCACCUAGUUUCACUCGUUAACGGGCGCAGCGGAACCGCAUCGAGCGUCGUCACGCGGCCACGCGUCGUUGAAUUUCGUCGAGACUCACGGUUUUUCCUUCCGCCGGAUGUUUGCGUGGCUUCUAUUCGCCUUUCCGUCGGAUUGUAUUCUGCCUACUGCUAUAACAUAUCAGUCGACUGUACACGUUUCGCGCUUAUUAUUUUCGUCGCCAGAAACCUGCUGCUCUUCUGUAUGAAUUUUUCAAAAGCCCUCUUUUCGGCCCGAUAUUAUUUUCCAUUUCUUCAAAGGAACACGCGAAACGCGUAUAAAUCCUGGCCGCGGCGGAGCUCGAUGCUUUUCCGAUGCACCGAGACGUCAUCGUCUCGGGCGGCGCGCUGCAAUCAACAGGUGGUUGCACCAACCACGAUGCAGUGACCCGCGUGUGCGUGGACGAGCGUGCGCGCGGCUGUACACGCAAGCAGAGCCGAGAGUCCACUUAUCGAAAGUUCCCACUAACUCGUGGUACCCGCAUACGCUCGUUACGAGAUCUUCGCCGUUGCAUAGGUGGGCAUUCAGGCUCUGCAUCCACCUACAGGUAUGCACCUAAAUAGGUAUUCUUGCUUGUACAGGGUGGUCCACGCAAACAGGCUCGAUGCGAUUUGCAUUUCAUCCGGUAAGCAUCCGUUACUUCGUUCGGCUUUGAAAUUCUUUGGAAAAUAGUUAACAUGGUACACCACUCUCUGACGCUAACAAGAAAUACGCUUAUGAUAUUCGAAAUUCUUGAUAAAACCUUGCGAAUUCCAGGGAAAUCUCGUGGCUUUGAUAUUUCUGACGGAGAGAAAUAGAUUGCAAUUCUUUCGGGAUGAAAGUAGAUUAGAACGUCGGUGGGUUUCAGGUAAACUGGAAGAAUAAUCACGAGUUCUGCUAGGAAUCUGUGGCGAGAUUGUUCGCAAUUUCGCGCGCAAUACUCGGCGAGGGUCCGCGUUAACGGCUCCACGUCGAAUUACCCUUUGAGACCUUGCGUAACUCGAUUUGAAACGUUCACUACGGCAUGUAGGAUGCAUUGAAACUCGAGAGGAGAAUCGCGCGUGUAAACGGGUGAAAAUGACUACUAGCCACGGUUAGACUGGCCAUAAAGUCCAUUUACCGUGCGGCAGCGAACGUAUCGUUUGGACGGUAACGCGUCACCGUAUAAAACUGACAUUGUAACCAACUUGGACGACGAGUUUUAUCGUGAAACGCGGAGACAGAGAGAGAGACGAUCUUCGCCGAGGCAUUUAGUGUGUCAUCCUCUCCUGUGUUCACCUCUGCGUGAAAAUCUCCAAUUCAAAUUGCGUGGCCGCUUCGAUGAUAAAGUAUCGAGCAAAGGCACGAAGUAAACAACACGAAUUAUGAAUACAUACGCUGCCAGUCAAAAGUGUUGAACGACAAUUCGAAACAUUUUAAGAAAUCAUUCCUUUUCAACAUUUCUCGCGAAAAAGACUUGGGUCACAGAAUGGAAUUUUCCUGACCGAUUUUCUCGGCCAAUAGUGUAAAUUUUAGACUGGAGUUUUCGUUGUAAUACCGAUCAGAGAGGCGUUUAAUCCGUGGCUUAUUCGACCAAAUCUAAAACAGAUGAAAUCGUAACGAUUCCGCAACUGGAAACCAACGAGAGUAACCAGAGCUCUGAUCAGAGCUAUCCGCGAAAGGAGCAAUAUUAUUCCAUCGAUGCCGCAUUUGCAUGAAAACUGCUGAUUCCCCUGACCUUCGCGGUCUAUUUAUAGCCAAGCCUGUUGAUGCCCCACGCACUCGAACGGACGCUUACCUGGUCCGGCUCUUGGUGUCAGUCCGUCGUUGUCCUACCUGGUCGACGACUGACACCGGUUACCCUUUCUUUCGGAAACUCAGCGCGAUCUACCGUUCCUGAUCGACCUCCUGAUCUGUCGAUCCUCAACUUUCCUUCGUUUCGAUCUUUGUUCAUUUGAACAUCUUUUAUACUAGUGUCUUAUCAUUUUCUUCAAAGCAAAAUGAAUUUUCAUUUUUGCACAUAUUUUCCUUUGAUUUUAAUUAACGAUACUGUCGUUGACACGGAAUAAUUAUGCACACAAGGUAAACCAUUAUCACCUACUUUCUCAUAACUUUGAAAUGAAACGUUUAUAGCCAACAAUUGGGUAAAAAUUUGUCCGUGUUUGCAUCUGCAGAAAAGAUUGAAACACCCGGUAUAAUAUGCACAACUAUCGAACUGAAAUUCUUAUUAUCUUUGAGUAAUGAAUAUUUGCAAUGAAAUAAGGACUUUGAAUGAAAAAGCAUCUUAAAAUGAGCUCCUGCACCGUCGUAACAGCAUCAACUUCUUUAUGGAACCCGGGGUGCAUUUAUCUGAAAUGUUAUUAACACAUUCCAUGGUAAUGAAGACGUUCGAGAUGAGUCUCGUCCUGUUUGAUUCUGCAAAACGACGGUCCGCGAUAUUGGCAACGAUUCAUUUAAUAGAAUAAUAACUCGAACGGGAAUAUAGAAUUUUCUCGCUAGACUGGUCGGUAAAAUGAUCCAGAAAACUGUCAUCCGAGACGAGAAACGUUCUCGUUGAGCAUAUAGAUUUCAUUGGGAGAACGUGUGCAGAAUUCUCUUAACACGCUCGAUCUCGAUGAUGUCCGAUAUCAUACGGAUCGAUCGGUCGUCGUUGAGAUCGAUAGAAAUAUCGUUGCGUUAACAUUCGAGAGUAGUGAAUAUAAAUAAAAGAUUUCGGCCGUACAGUCUCACUUAUCGAGGAUCAUCGUCGUGCCUUUCAGAGAUUCCCUCGGACGUGUAGGCGCGAAAUAGCAUUGCGAUACUUUCAUCUUGUGCAAUAACAGUGUAAUAAUAGCGCUUCUGCGGUAGCUAUCGGUCCGGUAAUAGCGGACGGUAUGCCCGUUUCGCGUCUCCUAUGCAUUAUUUAUGUAUACACGCGUAAUACGUGACAGUUGUAAAAAGUCUAUCAUAACGAUCGCAACGAAGAGUGACGUUCCUCCGAACGAUUCACAGCGGAGAUGACUUGUACCACUCAGCCCGUACGAUUCGACAUUUGUAGCUUCCAUUUCCUCGUCUCCCCCGACACCCCAACCCACAUUAUAUCUUUACGUUUCGAGUGACGUUACGUGAUUUCCACGAUGAAGUAAUCGUCCGGCUAUCUUUAGCCACGCACGACCACCGAUCAUCGACUACCGGACCAUUCUUCGUCCCGUCUGCCAGCGUUGAGCAACGCGUUCACGUGGCGUUAAAUCGUGACUUUUUACUACCGUAUCAGGAAAUACGUCACGAUUUCUGACGUAUCUCAAGACCGCGAAGUCGCGUUUCACGCGACACUGGAUUCGGUGGCUUCAUCCUGCCGUUAUCGAGCAAUUUCUUUCACCUUCAAAUGGUAAAAAAGGAUGAAACGAGCGUUGAGACGGCUGGAAAGCCGGUCGAUUGCUAGCUAAAUACAUUGCUAUCUUUAGCAACGAGGAACGAACCGAACGGAGCGUGAGAAUACCGGUUCCCUGCGAAACGAUACGAUUUGUUUGCCACAUUAUCGCCAGGUUAAAUAUAUCGCGAUAGCGUGAGGAAUUUACGAGCGAGUGGACGCGCCAUUGGCCGAGCCUGGCGUCGAGAUCGCGUAAAAGCCACGGUAUUACGUAAAAUUAACGCGGUGCGUGCGCGCACCGGUACCAUUUUUCUUUUUUCUUUUUUUUUUUUUUUUUUUAUCAGGGAAAUACUUGCAUGCGUUGCGAUUAGCCGGCUCGGCUCGACUGCGAUUACGCAAGAUGAACACGGAUGACAUAACGUUGAGAAAUUCAUCAAUAAUGAUUAAUUCGACUCGAUUCGAUGCCACUUAUUCCUUCUUACAUGUCGUAUCUUGAUUUCAAUGAUUUCCCCCGGCGACAAAGGAAGCUCGAUGAGUUUCGGGUAUCUCUUCUUUGUCUGUCUCUUAAUUGGUAUAAUAACACUGAUGAACGAGUAAUUAGAGGAUCGUUUACUCAACAUUUUAAAGGCUUAAUGUGCAUACCACAUUCCUCGAAGCAGUGAUCCUCUGAUUCAGAGAAUCAUUGUUGCUCUUAUCAUUAUUGUGCCUUUAUACUACUUAGGAGUGUCAAUUAUCUGUUUCUCUCUGAUUUUAAUUAAACUUGGAUUUGAAAAAAUAUUUUCGUCCGUUUCCUUUUAUGGGUGAAUAUUCGUAUCUAGGGGAUGAAGUCACCCUUAAAUUUAUGGUAAGAGUGAUGCUGAAGACUGCGAUCGUAUUUUCGAGGGGAAGAUACUGACAAAUUUGAUCCGACAGUACCACUGUCUCGACCCAAUAAACCUAAUGCUCCAAUUUACAAACCACCCUCGAAGGAGGCAAGAUCUCGGGGCCAAUAACACGUUCACGUUUCUCGACAAGUGGGUCAAUUGGUUUUUACAUAACGAGAGAGAAUAGAAGGAAGGUCUGAUGUUCUGUUGAAGCAUCGAGUAGGUGUAUAGGUGUAUUCUGUAAUCGCGGCCGGUGGUUAAGAGAGGAGAGGCAGCGGUCCAUUCAUCACGGACAGAGGAGAAACACAACGCGGACGUUUUUACUGGAGUAGACUCUAUUUUUAGAGGCGGGAAUAAAAGAGUGAAUAGAGUGUGAGAAUACUGGUUUAGCGGGCGAGCAAGUCCGACUCGUUUGCCCCGUCAUUGGCGGCUCGUGUCCGCUUGUGCUCCAACAGUGGGAAAGAAAAAAAGCCUAGGGUGCAACGUAAUGGGUUGCUUUUCCAUCGGGUCGCAUAUAAGUAUCCUUGAUCCUCCUCUGGGAAAUUGCCUCCCCGACGACAGAAUUUAUUUAUUUGAAAAUUUCAAGCUUUCUAUUUGUUAUAGCGUAAUGUUAAUACUGUUUCCAAUUUCUUUCCUCAAUUCUUUGAUCAAUUAUUCCCUUUUACUUUGGCCUGACAAUCGAUGACGCUUCUGGUCUCGAUGUCCCGGCUAGCUACUAGAGUUUCGUUCGCUAUAAAUUUUCCAGCCUGGCACAGCUUCUAGGCAUCAUUCUAGUUUUCCCGAUUGUGUAUCAUCGUGUGAUUCACGGUACACGCUUCGAUCGAAUCGUGACUAACGUGUUUUUUAACCUUGGCUCCGACACUUUGUCAGCGUUCAAGGAUCGUUCUUUUCGAAUUAACCGCCACAGCAGCCGGUGUGGAUGUAAUACCGAAAAUAUUUCUUGCGAGCUGAUAACUCCGGGGACACCCGGAUGUCCCAUAGCGUACACACACGGAUCGGCAACGAACUCUGAUCUUUCGUUCGUUUGAGGACGAUCGGUCCCGAAUGUUGAGAAUAUUCAAGACGUUCUUUCUACUUAAACUGCCUGAUGUCUGCCGUUCGAAAAUAGCUGUCGUUUAGUGUCAGCGAUUCCCUCGUUCGUGUAUACACAAACAACCGUCGUGUAAAAGAGAAAGAGCAAGAGGGAGAGAUGGGAAAAAAAGAGGAAUUCCUUAACGACACGCUGGAAACACGUGUCAGCACGUUGUUGUAAAGAUCCAACAUUCUCCACCUUUUUCCGUGAACCCGGCUGCUGCUUUACACCCAUAAAAAGGUUAAUGUACAGGGGAUAAAUCGAUACACCAGGAAUAAUUAUGUUCGUCGGGAGAUCGGUAAAGGAGGAGACAAGCGAAACUCGAUUCACAAAGUGGCGAAUCCUUGGUAGACACCCGACGUUAUUUCGACGAUGCCGUUGCAGUUCGGUUUUAAUGUGGGUGCCGCCUUAAGUAACGACGACGCGGCUGGUUUCAGGCUAAAAUACACUCAAUUAACCCUUAAUUGGCCGGCACCAAUUAUGGGCCCAGCGUACCGACGCGUAUUCAUUCGGUCAACAAGAAUGUAUGGUCGGCCGGCGUUGUUCUUCCCUCGUUUUACGACGACGACGACGACGACGUCGUUCGUGCCUCCUCUGGCACGCAGAUAAACGAAUUUCUUCUUCACUAGAGGAGCUUAUCCGAAGAUUCGAGCACGUGAUCAGCACGUUUGAUCAUCUUGUCGCGUGGAAAGUUCGCGCCUCGACAUCUACUACUAUAUUUAUCUAACGUUUACAACUUAGACUACACAUUUUUUUUUUUUUAAUCUUUUUUGUUGUAGGAAGUAGUAUCUUUCGAAAUGAACAUAUUAUAUUUGGAAUGCGAACGUAACUGUCAACGGAGAAAUAUCUGGUCGUUAAGUCAACCAUCGAGAUACCUCUGAGAAUUAACGUUAAGGUCAAGUUUUACUGCUCGUACAUCAUCCUUUUCGCGAUAACGAGAUCAUCGGGCUUCCUAGUUGAUUUGCCAAGAUCGGUAUUCGCGAAUAACUUGGUCGGCUUUCGUUUCUCUUCCGCCUUCAACCGCGCGCGACUGUUCGCAUCGAAAGAAAGCGCGGCAGAAUCUAAAAUCUGUUCGAGAAAAAUGAAAAAUACGCGUUUUAUCUUUCGAAUGAUAAUCCUCGUGGUACGCCUCCGUACGAUGGAGAACGGUUUGAAUUACAAGUACGAGGAUCUCGGUGAAAUCUUGAACAUAAGCCGUGCUUUCAAGUGGUCGUUUCCCGCGAUACGCGAAGUGCGUGCGAUUUAACGAGCUAAGACAUCUUCGUCGCAAUCGCCUUAAUUUGUCGUUUGCUAAGCUCGUUCUAUCACCAACGUUUAAACCUAAUGUUACAUUCUAAAUAUAAUUUCCGUGCAACGAGGCCGAUCAUUCGCGGAACAAGCGGCUAGUUUCUCCUCUCUCGUUGGUGAACGACGGUGUAGAAAAACGAAAUAGAAUUUCUGUUUUCAUUCGUUUUUCAUUCACCUUGGGAAACGAAAGAAUGCUCGAAUGACGAUAAUUAUUGUUGCAAGGUAUUUUUAAAUGGAGAGUGUCGCCGCGUUUACGUGAUCCGACAGGAAUUUCGCUCGACGGUUUAUUUCUGUGGUUAUAAUUGCUCCGGAUCGGAGACGAUUCAACGCGAGAGUAUGCCUCGUUAUCUCCGACGACGUUCGUUCGUAAAGACGACAGAAAAGUCUCUGUUAAUGGUGGGAGCCGAAUAUAAAUUUCGCGACAAACGCGUCCUUAUCAACUUGCUCGCUUGCUUGGUUGGUUACUUACCCUUUAAAUUCGUGCACCGUUCUCUAUCACUGUCUGUCAAUAUUUGCCGCUAAUCGGUCGACGAAAACAACGUAAAUCAUAUAGUAUUACGACGGUGUGAACGAUAUUACAGCAGCCGUAUUACAACGACUAUCCGUUAUCAGUCGAGCAUAUGUCCAAGUGUCUGUGUUUAUCGGUCCCGACUAUAUUUAGACCGGGUAUUGCUUUGUCGAGCAACACGAAUCGAAUCAAGGAAGGAAAGUAGACAAUUUAUUCUCCUUUCGAACGGAAUCACGAAAACGAGCCGCGGGACCCGUUAAUCAGACGCUCCUAGCUACAAACAACAUCCCAAGGAUUUACUUUUGCUCGAAAACCGUACAAAGUCGGCAUUCUAAUCGAAAACAGAUACGAAAUCGUGUGCGACGACGUAUUCCCCGCGGAAAGUUCAACAGCUUCGAUACGCGUCAUGCAAUAUUAAUUAGCCAUUACCAUAAAACGAGCGUUAACAUCGGCUAGAGCGCACCAGUCGAAAACGCUAAUUACGUUUUAACGCGCCAUAUCGACCAUCCCAAUUUUCACGUCGCACACUUUCAUCGAUUCGUGUACGUGGGCAAAAUAAAAAUGUCAAUGUUUGGAGAAAUUGUGAUUGUGUUUUGCAAACACUGCCACGGCGGGAAAGUGCCUAUUUUAGAUUGAAAAUAAAUAAGCGUAAAGGCAGCGAACUAAUUUACUCCGCGUUCGAGGGUUCGUUUGGGAUUAACCGACCCUUCUGCUCCUUUUCGACCUGGCCGGGAUUCUUGAAUGGUUGUCAGGUAGGACCGAAAUCCCACGGCGUUACACCAGAGAGAGAAUGAGAAAGAGACUGGUGUAUCCGGCGUCAUUCGAGUAUAUCCAAGGAUACCGACGCCACUAUACACCGUGGCUCCACUAACUGCCUAUGUUUAUCGCCAGGCUAUAUUUAGCCUGGGCUAUUGCUUUGCCAAGCGACAGACUGAACGAACCAGCUACAACCAACACGGGCAGCACCGGCAUCGGCAUCAGCAUCAGCAGAGGCAAGCAGAGGCAGUUGCCUUCCCAUCUCCUCGAUUCCUCUGGUUCUCUCUCUUUCUCAUCCUAUCCCGUCCCAUAUACGAGCCUACACCAUCCGUAUGCUCGUCUCUCGGACUCCCAAGCAGAGUUGUAACCUCGUCGGCCAGCGACACCCACCGGUGAACCGAUCUGCCUGGAUCAGGACGAGAUCCAAACGUAUCUCUAUCCGUUACGCCAUUCCGUUGGCCGAUACGUUUCCCAACUUCACCGUGAGCUUUUCCGCGGAGGCGGUGCCGAUUCGCGAAUCCAAAGAUCCACUCGAAUCCAUCGGCAAACUCUACCGAACCGAUACGACUAGUUUGCUCGCGGGAAUUACCCAAAGAUUAUGUGUCGCUGAUGUUCGGAAUGGAAAACUUUCCAGAGACGAGGAUUGAGAAGGCAGAUAAUUAUCGUAGACCGGGUGUCUAUGACCCUGACCGAACGAGACCGGGCGCACCGCUGAAAGUUGUCCACGUGCUCUACGAAGAGAGUACACAAUCGGCUGCCGCGGUGGUUCGUGUCUGAUUUUUCAUCGGUACGCAUUAAUUUCCAUUCGAUUGUUUCGCCAUUCAAGGAUACAACGUCGCGCGCACAACUAUCGCUAUUUGUCCGUUGGGUACCUAUAAAUAGACGCUGUUGAUUUAUGAAUAAAUGAAAGCACCGCCCUGUUUCUGUGUCCGCGCAUCCCCCACCGCGAUUUCACCUAGCGUACGCGCAUGCGUCCGCGCUAUUUCCUCUAGUACGCAUGCGCCCGUGCGUAAAAGAGUUGUGUACUCUCCCCACUCGGGCGAGUGGUGCACGCGUUCCUGGUGAACAGGGCCGUCGAGCAAUGAUUCUCCGGUUUAGAAAUGUAUUUUUAGACUGUGUACCGUUCGUUGGGGCACAAUUUGAACACCUUUCUCGGGUGAUAAAUCUUCCAGAUACAUAGCGCGCGGAUUGCGAAACACAACCGACUCGAUUCGACUCGACCCGGCCGUGUUUUAGGAACACAGGUUGAACUUUCUCUGGUUCGGUUCGGUUACGCCAAAAUAUUGUUUCGCUUUGUAAAAUUUUUACCAUUUUUAUUGCCGCUGGAAGCAGAAGGAGUGCCCUUGGUAUAUGUCUCCGUCUCUAUUAUAAAACCAGACGGUUACAACAUUCUGCUUCUCAUUCCUCAAAUUAGAAUGUAUAAUGGCGUCUUGAGUUAGUAAAUACGCUCUAUUAUGUGUUUAUAUCGGUGCUCGUGGUUGUAUGCGCGGCACGAGGCUAAAUAUAAAUACAGUCGGAUCUAAAUAUUGUUCAACACCUUUGAUCUCUUCGAAUGAAGUUCCAUAUUCAGUUCGUUCAAUCGGUUAUUUAUACGCUUGUUGUUUUUUCCCCUUCCUUUAAGUUUUCAAUCUACACCGUGAUAAAGUUGCAUUAAUUCCUCGACGGUCGGAGAAUCCCCCAGAAGAAAUCAAUUUCACUCGCUGGAAUGAACGAUUUGCUCGAACGAUAACGCGUUUAUCGUCGUAUAACAAAAAACUAUGUAUAUGCGAAAGAAGAGGAGAAAAAGCUUCUCUGGAACGUUAAUCAUAGCGUCAUUAGCGUAAGAUCGAAUCAAACCUAUCCUGGCGGUUAACGAUUUCAUAACAAGUUAAUUAAAGCGUUUAAUCCGCCCACUUUCUGAUUGCACCCUGUUUCUCGAGCUCCUCGUUCAUCCGCGUUAAACCUUUUAACGAUUGCGUAAGAUACAGAAAAACGAUGUUAUCACCGUGGUCGCGUUACGAUUUCCACGGUCCCAUCUUGUUCACCUGGUUGGCCGUUAAUUAUUCGCGUCUUCGGGCCUGUUUAAUUGGCAGAAGGGACGAUUGCCGGCGCGAAACACUGUCACCUAAUAAAAACCGAACGAUCUCGUACGAUGAAACGAAGCCGAAAAAACGAAUCGUCCUCCUUCUUACUGUUUAACGAGCAUCCCUUAUCGAUCGACUGAUCGUAUAAUUUAGGAAGUUAUGGCCGAUGGAAAGUAACAACGACCGAACGAACGACCGACACUCUCUUCGUAGGGAUUAGCCGAGAGCGAGGGGCUUUAAUUGGCGUAAGGCUGCGUCCCCCGUGGCUUCAAGUUCAAUUAUCUAAUGGCGAGCUCGGCCGCUGCGCUCUUUCCCCGGCUGCUUUCUAAUUCCUUGGAAAGAAUUCGCUCGGUCAACGAGAGUCUCUCUCCUCGUCCCUUUUUUGGUCGUGUUCAGGGUAUCGGGUCGGGUCGUUAACAUCCCGGACAACGGUCGCGUUUUCACCGUUUCCCGUACGCACGGUAUCGUGAAAGAAAAUGUAACUUUUCAUCGGGGAAAGGAGAAAGAAAGGGGCGACUAGCGAACCGUAACGUAGGAAAGAAGGAGAAAGAAAAAGUUAACGAGCCAAGAGGAUUAUCGAUUGAUAUUCAAGAUAAAGGAGGCACGGUUACGUUUCAACGGCGGAGACCUCCGAGAGGAACGAAUUUAUCUGCGACACGGAGCGUUGUCGUUUGGCAAGAUCUUGGUGCACGUAAACGGUCUCCCUCGAGAACACUAAUAGCCACCAUUAACGGGCCAGGACGUGAUCCGUUCACACGCUCGCGAAUUCCGGGAAGCUAUCUUUCCGUUCUGCCGUGUGGUAGCAAGCGUGUUGUAUCGGGAAGGGAGGUAUUUCUGGCACAACAUUACCGUUGUUGCUUGUCACCUUCGGCCAGAGAGAAAUGUCGCCUUGCCAGGCCGGCUGAAAAGCGACUAACCGGACACCACCGGGGUGAAGACACUUGCCCUAACGAUUCCGUGUAACUUCUUCGAUCCUGGAGCACGAUAAACUUUUCGUUGCUUCAGAUAUACAGAUGUCGUUGAUUAAGUCUUUAAAACGAUCGAUGGGAAAGUCGCGACGCCUCGGCUGUUCGGGAAUCAAGGUGUCUAGAUCCUAAUCAAUCAUUUUUCACCGCUUCUGGAGCAGUUCUCGUAAACGAUUCGCGACAUUGUUGACAUUCGCGAUGCGACGCUGUCAAACGAUUAAACGCUAAAUCAAUAUUCCAACACGUUCUUAACUUCCUUUCGAGUCUUCCUCCUCAGGUGUGACUUCCGUCUCUGGCAAACACAGGAAGGGGAUCGUAGAGUGCGAUGAAUAGAAGCUUGUUUUCCAACCGAGCAUCGCGAUCGUUCGUGAUUUCAGCAGGCCAAAGCGUUUGACCGGCGCGGCGCGACGAUUUGCACGAUUAAAGUGACUCGAAAGAUACGUACAACGAUUGCCCCAUUGUUAUUCAGCGAACACGACGAUUGUCGAUGCGCCGGGACGAGCAGCCGUCGCCGCGCCGCGCCGCGCCGUUCCACCACGUAAAGACGAGUUUAGAGGCAUAAUUUUGAGGGACGACGCGGAUCACCGUGCAGAGGCGGAAAGAUGAAAUAUCCACGAGUCAUGUUUUAUGGAUGCGGCGAACAAUUAUGAGACAGUAGGACAUAAAUUUAAAAAAGUACCGCAAAGAAUUCGCGAUGAGACGAUGCUAAAAUAAUCUUGCCACCGGUCGCAACCGUUGUCGACACAUUGUUAACUUGACGUGUAAUCAUUUUUCAGAAACUCUUUCGUUUACCGAGAUAUUUACUUUGAACCAUUAUGUUGAAUGAAAAAAAGGGAACAAUAUCUACUAUAACACCGGAGUAACAGAAUCUGUCUAUGCAUUCGUUGAAAUAGUAUCGUGGCACUCGACAAAGGUACAUAAAGGUAGUUUCAACGCCUCCAACUCUGCGGCGUUAACACCGGUGGUGUCUCGGUCAAUACCGGUGAUACAUCUGACUUCGAAACACGCCGGAUACAACUUCGGUUCAAUUUCAAAUCUCUGAACCUGUCCAACCGGGACACCUUCCAUAAUGAUCACAACUUCCAGGGAAGCAUUUCAGUACAAGCAUAGACUCGUGGAAAAGUUGAACGUCACCUUGGAAAAGUUGAAGAAAAACGGACACGAACAGGAAUUCCUUGAUCAGCUUUCCAAAGGAUCGCGACUUUGUUGCACAACUGUAUCAGCGGAUAGAGAAAAGGCUUGUGUGUAGCAGUCCGCGGAGAGCACUCCGGCUCUCGCGAGCUCCCUCAAGGUGGUCUCGUCUAAAUAUAGCCGGGUAGAGCCCAGAAUAACAGCACGUCGCGAGCCGGCAAUGACCAAAGCCCGCCUCGUUCACCAGAGGCAACAGAAUAACCGACCAGGUUGGUCAGUUUUGUCUACCGGUCCGCGACUCGUUCCUCGGCCGAGCCCGGAGAAGCAUCGCUGCCUUAAAACAAUACAAUUCUGGCCCCGUGUUCCCGACUGCCUUCUCCUUUGUUUGUUAGCCCCGGUUCGACAGGAACGAGGGGACUGGUUUCUAAGCCAGACCAGUUUCGUCCACCGGAUCAUCGAUCACCGCGGGCGUUUUAUGCAAAACCUGGGGACACGACACGUUGCGUCGUCCCCGCGUCUUAGUUACGUACGGUUGCAUCCUUUGCCUCUGACGCAUCCAUGCAUCUCCAACUUUUCUUACCAGCAAAUUCACAUUCACGUGAUGGACUAACGAAGGCAUCACCUUCCGAAAGGAAAUUGCGAGAAGCCAAAGGUAGCCAAAGAAACCACAGCAUUUUCAUAGGCAAUUGCAUAAAAAUUUCAUUGUUUGAAACUUAUUAUCAGUUCUCAGAAGGAUCGCAUUACUUAGGAUGAUCUAAUAAUUUUGUUAUUCUUAUGCGUCUCGAUCGACUUCCUUCCGUCGAAGCGAAGCCGGAUCCAUUUCGUUCCUUCUUCCUUUCUUCAAUGGACAAUUACAAUAAGCUUCGCUAUCGUGCGACACAGAAGUCAACUUCCUUUCAGCGAAUUCAAUCGAACGAAGCCGUCGUUCCUUCGUUGGUCGUGCGACGCCAGACAUCCGGUCUCCAGAGAGAAUCCUGCUGAAAGAGGACUUCAGAAUUUGCCUAUGUUUUCCUUAUUCUAUCCGGUCUCGUCCGACUGGCUAUUUUCACUCGAAAUCUCGCGCAAAAAGCGCGGAAUAAUCCUGAUCAGAUGAAUUAAUUGCUGAUGAUGGCGACUUCCUGGAAUCGUGGGAGGACGGUUAGAGGACGUCGGAAAAACAGAGGGUUUAUAUCUUAAUCCUCAUGAAACUGUUAUUAAUUUUAAGGCUGAAUAAUUGUUGCCCUAAUUACGAAUCUAAGGAGGUCGAUGUCGUAACGAUAGGAGAAUGGCAAUAGAAACAGUCGCUAUGAAUAGGUUGGAUGCAUGAAUUUCGUGGCUGUGCUGUUCGAUCGAGCAG